rnacentral:misc_RNA from 1 species
AAGGAUAUUAUACGGAAUAUAAGACCUUGGGUCUUAUAAACAGAACGUUCCCUGUCUUGUUUAGUUUUGAAGGAUCAUUCCUUCGAAACGUGUUCUUUGAAAACUAGAUAACAGAAGACAUCACAUUCAAUUAGUAACACAAGAUAUCACAUAGUGAUUCUUUUUAAC